AAACCGUCAAUUCGUACCACCUGAAAA
rnacentral:sRNA from 1 species